ACGAACGCUGGCGGCGUGCUUCACCCAUGCCAGUCGAACGGUGAAGCGCCUUCCUUUUUGGUGGGUGUGGAUGAGUGGCGAACGGGUGAGUAACACGUGAGUAACCUGCCCCCUUCUUCUGGAUAACCGCAUGAAAGUGUGGCUAAUACGGGAUAUUCUGGGUCUGUCGCAUGAUGGGUCUGGGAAAGAUAUUGUUUCGGUGGGGGAUGGGCUCGCGGCCUAUCAGCUUGUUGGUGGGGUGAUGGCCUACCAAGGCGGUGACGGGUAGCCGGCCUGAGAGGGUGGACGGUCACACUGGGACUGAGACACGGCCCAGACUCCUACGGGAGGCAGCAGUGGGGAAUAUUGCACAAUGGGCGCAAGCCUGAUGCAGCGACGCCGCGUGAGGGAUGGAGGCCUUCGGGUUGUGAACCUCUUUCGCCAGUGAAGCAGGCCUGCCUCGUUUGUGGGUGGGUUGACGGUAGCUGGAGAAGAAGCGCCGGCUAACUACGUG
rnacentral:rRNA from 1 species